UACGGGGGGGGCAAGCGUUGUUCGGAAUUACUGGGCGUAAAGGGCUCGUAGGUGGCCAACUAAGUCAGACGUGAAAUCCCUCGGCUUAACCGGGGAACUGCGUCUGAUACUGGAUGGCUUGAGUUCGGGAGAGGGAUGCGGAAUUCCAGGUGUAGCGGUGAAAUGCGUAGAUAUCUGGAGGAACACCGGUGGCGAAGGCGGCAUCCUGGACCGACACUGACACUGAGGCGCGAAAGCCAGGGGAGCGAACGGG
rnacentral:rRNA from 1 species